CCAUAUGUCAAAUGUACGUCGCUUUGGAUAAAAGCGUCUGCUAAAUGGCAUAUA
rfam:Salmo salar isolate Sally breed double haploid chromosome ssa16, whole genome shotgun sequence.